UACGUAGGGACCGAGCGUUGUCCGGAUUCAUUGGGCGUAAAGAGCUCGUAGGCGGCUGUUCAAGUCGAACGUGAAAACUCGGAGCUCAACUCCGAGCCUGCGUUCGGUACUGGACGGCUAGAGUCUGGUAGGGGGAUCGUGGAAUUCCUGGUGUGAGCGGGUGGGAAUGCGCAGAUAUCAGGAGGAACACCGGUGGCGAAGGCGGGGAUCCUGGGCCAGUACUGACGCUGAGGAGCGAAAGCGUGGGGAGCAAACAGGG
rnacentral:rRNA from 1 species